UACGUAGGGUGCGAGCGUUGUCCGGAAUUACUGGGCGUAAAGAGCUCGUAGGUGGUUUGUCGCGUUGUUCGUGAAAACCGGGGGCUUAACCCUCGGCGUGCGGGCGAUACGGGCAGACUUGAGUACUGCAGGGGAGACUGGAAUUCCUGGUGUAGCGGUGGAAUGCGCAGAUAUCAGGAGGAACACCGGUGGCGAAGGCAGGUCUCUGGGCAGUAACUGACGCUGAGGAGCGAAAGCGUGGGGAGCGAACAGG
rnacentral:rRNA from 1 species